AAAAAACCUUUAUUGUGUUUGUGAAGAUACAAAAAAACAAACAUGUACGAGUCAUUGAUUCAACACAGGAAGUCAGGGUUCUACAACUUCCUGUGUCAGGUUUCCAUCAGUUCCUCUGUUGACGUCCAGUCCUCAACAUCGGAUCGUUCUGGACGAGGUCGGGUCGUUUCAGAUCCUCUUCGAGUCAUAUAGAUCCAGUCUUUAGGUUGUUUCAGACCCUCUUCGAGUCGUAUAGAUCCAGUCUUUAGGUCGUUUCAGAUCCUCUUCGAGUCGUUUAGAUUCAGUCUUUUUGGUCAUUUCAGAUCUUUUGAAGUCAUUUAGAUCCAGUCUUUACAUCAUUUCAGACCCUUUCGAGUCAUUUAGAUCCAGUCUUUGGGUCAUUUCAGAUCUUUUCGAGUUGUUUAGAUCCAGUCUUUACAUCAUUUCAGACCCUUUCAAGUCGUUUAGAUCGUCUUUGGGUCGUUUCAGACCCUUUUGAGUUGUUUAGAUCUAGUCUUUGGGUCGUUUCAGAUCUUUUAAAGUCAUUUAGAUCCAGUCUUUACAUCAUUUCAGACCCUUUCGAAUCAAUUAGAUCCAGUCUUUGGGUCAUUUCAGAUCUAUUGAAGUCAUUUAGAUCCAGUCUUUACAUCAUUUCAAACCCUUUCAAGUUGUUUAGAUCCAGUCUUUGGGUCGUUUCAGACCCUUUUGAGUCGUUUAGAUCUAGUCUUUGGGUCAUUUCAGAUCUUUUGAAGUCAUUUAGAUCCAGUCUUUACAUCAUUUCAGACCCUUUCGAGUCGUUUAGAUCUAGUCUUUGGGUCGUUUCAGACCCUCUCGAGUCGUUUAGAUCUAGUCUUUGAGUCGUUUCAGACCCUUGCGAGUCGUUUAGAUCUAGUCUUUUGGUCGUUUCAGACCCUUUCGAGUCGUUUAGAUCUAGUCUUUGGGUCGUUUCAGACCCUUUCGAGUCAUUUAGAUCCAGUCUUUGAGUCUUUUUGGACCCUUUUGAGUCGUUUAGAUCCAGUCUUUGAGUCGUUUUGGACACUUUCGAGUCGUUUAGAUCCGGUCUUUGAGUUGUUAUGGACCCUUGGAGUCAUUUAGAUCCAGUCUUUGGGUUGUUUCAGAUCUUUUCAAGUCAUUUAGAUCCAGUCUUUAGAUCGUUUCAGACCCUGUUGAGUCAUUUAGAACCAGUCUCUGGGUCAUUUCAGAUCUUUUCGAGUCGUUUAGAUCCAGUCUUUGGGUCGUUUUGGACACUUUCGAGUCGUUUACAUCCGGUCUUUGAGUUGUUUUGGACCCUUGGAGUCGUUUAGAUCCAGUCUUUGAGUCGUUUUGGACACUUUCGAGUCGUUUAGAUCCGGUCUUUGAGUUGUUAUGGACCCUUGGAGUCAUUUAGAUCCAGUCUUUGGGUUGUUUCAGAUCUUUUCAAGUCAUUUAGAUCCAGUCUUUAGAUCGUUUCAGACCCUGUUGAGUCAUUUAGAACCAGUCUCUGGGUCAUUUCAGAUCUUUUCGAGUCGUUUAGAUCCAGUCUUUGGGUCGUUUUGGACACUUUCGAGUCGUUUACAUCUGGUCUUUGAGUUGUUUUGGACCCUUGGAGUCGUUUAGAUCCAGUCUUUGGGUUGUUUCAGAUCUUUUCCAGUCGUUUAGAUCCAGUCUUUGG
ensembl:lncRNA